GGGGAACUGAAACAUCUAAGUACCCCGAGGAAAAGAAAUCAACCGAGAUUCCCCCAGUAGCGGCGAGCGAACGGGGAGGAGCCCAGAGCCUGAAUCAGCAUGUGUGUUAGUGGAAGCGUCUGGAAAGGCGCGCGAUACAGGGUGACAGCCCCGUACACAAAAGCGCAUGUGCUGUGAGCUCGAUGAGUAGGGCGGGACACGUGGUAUCCUGUCUGAAUAUGGGGGGACCAUCCUCCAAGGCUAAAUACUCCUGACUGACCGAUAGUGAACCAGUACCGUGAGGGAAAGGCGAAAAGAACCCCGGCGAGGGGAGUGAAAAAGAACCUGAAACCGUG
rnacentral:rRNA from 1 species